GACGAACGCUGGCGGCGUGCUUAACACAUGCAAGUCGAACGGAAAGGGCCUGCUUGCAGGGUACUCGAGUGGCCAACGGGUGAGUAACACCUGGGUGAUCUGCCCUGCACUUCGGGAUAAGCUUGGGAAACUGGGGCUAAUACCGGAUAGGAGCCAUCUUUAGUGUGGUGGGUGGAAAGUUUUUUCGGUGUAGGAUGAGCUCGCGGCCUAUCAGCUUGUUGGUGGGGUAAUGGCCUACCAAGGCGGCGACGGGUAGCCGGCCUGAGAGGGUGUACGGCCACAUUGGGACUGAGAUACGGCCCAGACUCCUACGGGAGGCAGCAGUGGGGAAUAUUGCACAAUGGGCGCAAGCCUGAUGCAGCGACGCCGCGUGGGGGAUGAAGGCCUUCGGGUUGUAAACUCCUUUCGCUAGGGACGAAGCUUUGUUGUGACGGUACCUAGAUAAGAAGCACCGGCUAACUACGUG
rnacentral:rRNA from 1 species